rnacentral:lncRNA from 1 species
GGGAGCUUCUUACAGCUUUUAACCACGUCCACAGCAGAGUUAGAGCCCCUUUGCUUCAGAUAAUUUCCAAAGACCAUCUGAAGAAUGUUUGGACUCGCUUGUGAAGGAUCAGGGAUAGAGACAUUUUCUGAAGCCCCUGGCUGGCUUGUUUGCAACACCAUCCCAAUAAAAAUUAAGCCCUCAGACACAAACUUAGGAAAGGAAAGAAGAAAACAGAAUUCUGAUAUAUUUCACAACCGUACUCUGAUCCCAGGAGAAAGAUUGGGUAAGAAACACUGAUCUUUCUUACAUAUCUGUCUGCAAAGUUUUCAGUAGUCCUCUUUUACUAGCAAUCUCUCCUGGAUUAGGUGAGCAAGUUGCCUAAUUGUUUCAGUGGAUUGCUUUAAUUGGUUCUCAUCCAAGCAGCAGAGGGGAUGUAGGAGCACAGCAUUUAACCGAGAGGAAAACAGCAUGUGGGAUGGGAGAAGGAAGGUACACCAUGAAGUUACCCUUGAAGACACCAUGAAGUGUGGUAAGUUGCAGUGGGAUCUAGAUGGCUGAGAUGGAUCAAAGCACUGAGUUCUCCUCCUGGCUCUGGCUUAUUACCUGUUUUGAUAGCAAAAUUUGCAGAUCUUCAUUUGCCAAGGAAAUGUGCUGAACCCAUAUAUGUGUGUGGAAUGGGACAAGGCACCUCCAGCAUGGGGGCCAGCUUCUUCCAAGCUGUCCUAUUACAUUUGCUGGAGCCCAGGAACCAGGGAGAGCCCACUUCACUGCCUGACUUCUCAAGAAUUGCAGAAUAGGCCUGUGCAACAUGAACCUGUCUGUUUCUACUGGGACCUGUCCAAGGGAUGGCUUCUUACCAUAUCUGGCCUGUCUGGAUCACAGUUACACCUACUGGUGUAUUUUCUGUGCCAUCAUUUUUCUGCUGUUUUCUAUGGUUUACUAUACAUUUCUCUGCUUUCUUUUUCUUUUUUCUUCCUAUACUCCUGCUAUUCUUGCAACAUGUGCAAAAAAGUGAACAAAAAUUAUUGCAGGACUUGAUGUGGCUACAUGGCCAUUUUUCCGCAA